rnacentral:rRNA from 1 species
UACGGAGGGGGCUAGCGUUGUUCGGAAUUACUGGGCGUAAAGCGCACGUAGGCGGCUUUGUAAGUUAGAGGUGAAAGCCCAGGGCUUAACCCUGGAAUUGCCUUUAAGACUGCAUCGCUAGAAUCGUGGAGAGGUGAGUGGAAUUCCGAGUGUAGAGGUGAAAUUCGUAGAUAUUCGGCGGAACACCAGUGGCGAAGGCGACUCACUGGCCCGAUACUGACGCUGAGGCGCGAAAGCGUGGGGAGCAAACAGG